GGGGACCUUCGGGGCCCUUCAACUGGCCGGGCGGGACACCGUCCGCAAAGCAACGGAAAGACAGAGAA
rnacentral:ncRNA from 1 species